rnacentral:rRNA from 1 species
GUCUAUGGUCAUGCCACCCUGAACCACACCCAAUCCUGUCUGAUCUCGGAAGCUAAGCAGGGUUGGGCCUGGUUAGUACUUGGAUGGGAGACCACCUAGGAAGACCAGGUGCUGUAAGUG